CUCCCCUCUCAUUCAUGGCUUUAACCUCCGAGGCUGGAAAUGAGAGGGUUUAAGGAGCAUGCGCAGGGAUAACGUUUCGACUUCGCGUCUCGGUCGGUAAUCUAGAUGCGUCCACCCACAAACAAGAUGGGAGGAAUGGGUAAUGUGUGUUGAGUGUUCCCGGCAAUGGGAUGGACGGAGGUGUUGUUUCCGGGAAACAUAUGACUAAAGCAGCUACUCAUAAUGAUGAUGCCAGGAUUCCCAGGGCUCAGCCCCAGAACAUAAUACCAGAGGGAGUGCCAAAUCUCAGCCCCAUACUUAUGGGAGGGGGAAAAAAUCUGGCAACCUUAUGGUGGUUUCGACUAUGCUGGUGAUGAUGGUAGGUCUCUCUGCCGCAAUCCUGCAGCAUGAAUUGUUUAGUGCUGUCAGAGAUGCACUAGGGGAUGCUGUUCGCAGUGUUUCUACGUGUGUUUUGAGCUGACUUCACUCACAGUUUAGGCGCCUCUCGAUUCCCUAGUUAUCCUUUGAGCUUUCAAGAUCUGGAGUGCUUAAUUGAUGCUGCUAAAACGCUGUUUUAUGAGCGUUGUUGCCUUCUUCCUUUAAACACACGCACUCUCAGCCUUGGAGCAGAUCACAAAAGAAUAAAAAUCAAAUAUAAAGUAUUCACUUAAAAUCCCUGAAACAUCAAAAAGCUAACCUUACAUUGGCUUAAUCCCAGCUGCCUAAAGCCAGCUUGAAUAAAGGUUUACCAUGGUGCCAAGUUACAGUGCAAUCCACACCCCAGUUAAACCAAAGUGCUUCAAUUUAAGCAGAAUAAAUCUCUUAAUUGGGUCCAGGGGCAUAACUAUAAUAGGGCAAGGGGAGACAGUUGUCUGGGGGCCCCACUGCCUUGGGGGCCCCCCCAGAGGCAAGUCACAUGACUGACUCCCUGAGCUGCGCACCCGCCCAGGCUUCCUUCAGUACAAAACCCACAAUUUACAAAACCUUAAAAAAUAAUAAUUUUUAAAUUAUUCAUUUUUAUAAUAAAUUAAAUCAUAAUUUAGGAUGAUGUUCUAUUGUGGCACAUAGGUUUAAGAUUUCUUUACUUCAUGAGCUGAACUUCAGUGGGGGGCAUUUUAAAAUCUUGUCUCUGGGCCCACUCCAACCUUGCUAUUACCCUGAUUGGGUCAAUACAUUAUGAUUGCUGCUUGCAUAGCCUGUGUAUGGUGGUCUUAAGCCCAUAAUGAGCAUAUUAUAUACAUACAACAGACCCCGAUUUAGUUUUAUGUACACAUCAUUGCAAAGCAUUAACACUAAGGUGGUGAUUCUAGGCACACUUUUCUAGAAAUAUGUCUCACCAAAACCAAUUAAAAAUUGUGAUGAGUGGGGAGAUUUUGUUUGUGUUUACUAAGGUUUUUAAAUUUUCUAAUCUCAACAAGAUCUUGUUUCACUGUCACCAUAUGCUCUCUUUUUAAUCAUAACUUUAUUUGAAGGAGUCAGGAUUGGUAAUGCAGUGAUGUAGGCAUGUGGGUACAAACAGAUAGGUACAAACAGGAUUAUGUAUACAAAACUUGAUAUCUGUAGGUAAUUGGGAAGUAUGACUUUAUUUUAUACAAACAAAUGCACAAACUCUUCAAAAUAUAUAUGAUGCAUGUGCAAACCAGCUCACUAUCUGUUAGAGAUUUGAGUAUCCUGAAUAACUCUUUUGGACAGAUUUGCCUAGGACUCUCCUGCACAUUUUAGGUUAGCAGCUUUCUGGCAUUCCUGCAAAAGACAACAAGAGUGGCUGAUUUAUCAUCUAAGGUGUGGCACACAAGCAUCUUCAGUAUGUCUUUCUUUUAGAAUAUAUUUAUUUAUACACAAAGUGAUAGUUUCACUUAGAACUCAAAGGCAUUUUAAAUAUGUCAUUGUAUCUCUCUUUUUGAAAUCCCAGUGAAGCAGAAAUCAUGUUUAUUUUAAUAUUACAAAAGGGGGUGGGGGAGGAGAAGGCAAGUCGAUUUAAAAUUCAAAGCAAUUACAUGCUUCACGUCAGCAUUGUAUAAUUCCCUGCUAUUAUGCAUAAUGACACUAAAUUAAUGAAGUAUCACUUGUUCUAGAACUGCUACAAGCCACCUGCUUGACCUCCCCUCACUCCCAGACAUUUCUGUGAAAUGAUGGACUGUUGAGGCAGGUUGAGGACAUUCAGUACAGCUUGCCAUGAGUCAGAACAGCAGCCUCGUUCUCCUGAAGGGGCUCUUUCCUCCCUCAUGACCCCUCUCCUCAACAAUCAAGAACAUCUUCCGACCAACUGACCUUAGCCAUCACAGGCUCCUCCUCCCUAUCUGCAUAUGGAAUCUCCACUGUCCAAUCACCAUGGUGCUUCUGCUCGCAAACUCUCACAAGAUCUGCCAUGCACAGGAUUAUCCACUGAUCGCUGGUUGGUGGAUGAUUGUCGGUUUCUUAGUCAUUCAGGAAUUGCUGCUCUAACCAUCCAGGAGGAAAACAAGAACAAGCACAGGAUUAAGCUGGAAGUGCUGACCAGAGAUAAGGAAUAAACUAACAAUUAAAAAAAAGCAAAGCAGCCACUAUGCAAGAGUGUAUUCAGCUGUUAUAGCAAUAAACGUUCAAAUAUGAUGUCGGUCACAGGAAGAAAAAUGGCUUACUGUAAGUUGUUAUGGCAACUAAGCUCUUACACAGUAACUCAGCAAAUGCAACUCCACCUCAACCAGAGCUUUGUGAAAUAGUUUCCUUAGGUGAAACAAUUUUUUCAAAAGCAUUUUAUAAGACAGGAACACAAACCCAGUGUAAUUUGCAUUAACAUUAGGCAGAAAUGGGAUCUACAGAGAUCCAGUGCAUUUUAAUACACAUUAGAGCUGUGCAGUCUGCAUUGUACGGCACUUCGUGUCUGUACUGACUGGUCCAGGACAAGUGCAUGCUGGUGCUUUAGAUAUGGCCAUAUGUUAGGUGGGGCUCCCCUGCACCACACUAUUUCUAUUUAAAUAGGAAUUUGCAUCAUGCUAACCAUCCUUAUGCCAGCUCCAAACUAUGGACAUUGGCUGACAUUCUGACUACUGCAGGGUGUGUGCUUCUAAUAUCAGCACACCUGCAGCAUAGUCCCUGUGCUGGUCCUUGCACUUCUGAAAAGUGGGCAGUCUUACACAAUAUGAUAGGAGCACACACACAGCAGUAGUCAGGAUGUCAGCCAAUGAGCCUCAAGUAGCACUUAAGAUCUUUUUCAAAGAAUGAAAGCACAGAUGAGGAAGUCUUGUCAUAGAUCGGAUUGGCCAUGAAACUGGUCAAAAAAAGAUGGUCAGUGUUUAAGAACAUAAUAAGAACGUAAAGAAAAGCCCUGUUGGAUCAGGCCCAAGGCCCAUCUAAUCCAGCAUCCUGUUUCCACAGUGGCCCACCAGAUGCCUCUGUUCGACCAAUGGUAAAGUAUUCUUAGCAUUAACUUUAUUCCAACUAAAAAUAUUUUGGCUUUCCCUAACUCUCCAUACUAUAAUGCCUCGUUCACAGUAGUAUUGCAUAUAUCUUUUUAACUAGAACCUUUGUAAUUUUCAUUAGCUACUGUUUUUCUGGACCCAACCCUAAGCCCUCACAGAAGCUUUAUAAAGCAGAUAGCUAAAUCACAUAAAUGAAAGAGCUGGGGAAAAGGGAUUACUUCCAGGUUAUUUCAGCAAGCAAAAUGGAAUCAUGUCUGAUCCUAGGCAGAACUUUGUUAUGCUACUAGUUUGCUAUGGAGCUAAAAGGAAAACAGCCUUUGUUCCUGUCCUUGCUUACAAGACUGCCAAAAGGGCAACUGCUAGGAGCAGGACUUUUUUGCUGGUGGAACCAACACUACAGAAAAUCCUCACCAAAAAGGUGCCAACUCCAACAUAGGCUUCUUUUUCAGUGAGCUGUUCCUUAGAGUAACUCUGUUUUUAGCUUUUGUCUGAAAUACUGUGCUUAUGCAUUGCUACUGUGCUACAGUUGUGUUUCUGGUUCUGUUGUAUAGGAAGUUUUUUAGUUCUACUAUUGCUAAUACUAUUGCUAUUAAAACGUAUUUGUUUGGCCUGGCUUUCCAGUGUUUUUAAAUCUGUUUUAAUAUUCUAACCUGAUUUUGGGGCUUUUACUCACUGUAAUUGUUUAAUUGUUGUUUUAAAAUGUUUUUAAAUUGUUAAUUGUUUUUAUAUUGUUUUUAAUUUGUUUUAGCUCUUUAUUGUUUUAGUAGUUUGUUUUAAUUGUAAACUGCCCUGAGCCAUUUUGGAAGGGUGGUAUAUAAAUCAAUCAAUCAAUCAAUCA